rnacentral:rRNA from 1 species
AGUAACACGUGGAUAACCUACCUAUAAGACUGGAUAACUUCGGGAAACCGGAGCUAAUACCGGAUAAUAUUUUGAACCGCAUGGUUCAAAAGUGAAAGACGGUCUUGCUGUCACUUAUAGAUGGAUCCGCGCUGCAUUAGCUAGUUGGUAAGGUAACGGCUUACCAAGGCAACGAUGCAUAGCCGACCUGAGAGGGUGAUCGGCCACACUGGAACUGAGACACGGUCCAGACUCCUACGGGAGGCAGCAGCA